rnacentral:rRNA from 14 species
GUCUAUGGUCAUACUUCCCUUGGACAAGCCCAGGAUCAUUAAUCUGGGCGCUAAGUAGGAUCGGGCCUGUUUAAUACUUGCAUUGGGAGACUGCUUGGCAAUAAUGGGGUACUGUAGGCA